CGGCGUGCCUAACACAUGCAAGUCGUAACGAGAAAGCCGGCGUUCGGCGUGGUGAAGUAAAGUGGCGCACGGGUGAGUAACGCGUGGAUAAUCUGCCCUUAAGUGUGGAAUAACGUACCGAAAGGUGCGCUAAUACCGCAUAAUGCCUGGCAACACAAGUUGUCCGGCCAAAGAAGGCCUCUGUUUACAAGCUUUCGCUUCAGGAUGAGUCCGCGUACCAUUAGCUUGUUGGUGGGUAAUGGCCUACCAAGGCUGCGAUGGUUAGCUGGUCUGAGAGGAUGAUCAGCCACACUGGAACUGAGACACGGUCCAGACUCCUACGGGAGGCAGCAGUGAGGAAUAUUGCGCAAUGGGGGCAACCCUGACGCAGCAACGCCGCGUGAGUGAGGAAGGUUUUCGGACUGUAAAGCUCUGUCGAGCGGGAAGAAGUGUACCAUGGCUAAUAUCCAUGAUAUUUGACGGUACCGCUAGAGGAAGCACCGGCUAACUCCGUG
rnacentral:rRNA from 1 species